CCUUGGAGAAGAAUACUGUAUGUAAACCAGGAUUUUGGAUCAACUGUGAAGAUUUUGUAUGGAGCUGAAGUUUUGGGAAAGAAAAUCUUCUACCACAUGAUCUUCAGAGGAACUGAUUACUGGCAAUUUGGAGGAGGA